CGUUGCCACAGAAAAACUGGACCGUAGCAUGCAAAGUUUAACCACGUUUUACGGACCAGUUGGUGUUAAAUCAAGUUUACUAACCCUCGCCAGACUAAGUUGUAAAUUACAUCACAGCAGAAUCCCUGCGCUCGAAUUACAGCAUGUUGCCUGCAUGUGUGAAUCCAGAGAAAACCUCCACCAUCAGCCAUGGAAACAAUAUAUCAGAGAUUAUCCGAGUGACCUGUCGAGGUGUUUCUGGACCGGCCAGACUCUCUUCACUGAAUGAGAGAUCAUCAUCACCCAGAUGGGAGCCUUUCUUCACUCAGGUCAAACCUUGAAGACAACGAUCCAGCAGCAUCAGGAAAAUCUAGCUAGAGAUUCAGCCUUGUUCCUCAUUGUUCGGGGCACAAACGAGCAACAGUCUUUUUUGACACGGAGCCACAGAUGAAUAAAGACUGGAGCUGACUAGUCACAGGAAAGAGCUUUCUUUUUGGAGGGCUUGGAGCCCAUUAAGAGUUUGUGAGAUAUGAAUGGAUAUGAAUCCUCUCCUUCGACCCCACCAAAAAAAAAAAAAAAAAAAAAAUACAACUGGACACACAGGAGACAAGGAACACCUCUGUGUCUUUUUACCGAGGUUCCCAAGGACAUUUCAAGACACCGGGCUGAUUGACAGGCAGGAAUUACAUAGAGUCAAUAAGGAAGUGGUUCUUUGUUAAU